rnacentral:misc_RNA from 1 species
GCUAUUACAACUUCUGCCAAUAAGGGUGCUGUCGCAACCAGCACUAUUAAUGUGCUCAACACUGGUACCUCUAGUGAUGGCUGUGCCACCUUCAUCAGUACAGGCAUUGCCACUGCACCUUGUAUACAAGCCCCUGUAGUCACCUGCACUGCUAGUCCCACAAUCCCCAGUAUCAUCAGUGCCAAUGCUCUUUGUACUUCGACUACCACUGGCCACAGGACUGGAACCACUGCCCUCUUACUGGUUGCCAGUGCGACCAUCCCUACCGUUGUCUCCACUGCCACAACCACCAUCACCACCACCACUCGUAAUAUUACGACUACUAGCAGCACUAGUACCGCAACUAUCAAUAGUACUUCGAACUCCACCACAAGUACUAUUGUCAACAAAAGUGGUGCCUUUGUUACGUCUCCUACCACAGAAACUGCUGUCACUACCACUGCUGGUUCAGCUGCCAUUACAGAUACCAAUCUUGCUGCUGUUAACAUCGUGUUCACUGCUGUUACUGCUCUUGCCAGUAGCAGUUCCACUACUGAUAAAUCUGCCAUGAAAGUUACCACUAACGCCCAUACUGCCCCUGCUACCAUCAUAACUGCCAUCGCCACCAGCACCAGAUCCUCCACCAAACCCACAGUUAGUGCUGUGAACGUAAGAAGUACUUCUAAUAGUUCUACAUUUAGCACGUGCAGCAGCACCACCACCCCUUACAGAAACGGUAGCGCGUGUAUUGACAGUCCUCCUCCAGCUGCUGUUAACCCUCGUGUCACCACCCUUUGUCACAAUCACGUGAAAGGGGAUAAAGGCAAUAAAUCUCUACAGUGUUCCGAAAGCACAUUUGUCCCAAUCAUUACCGUAGCAGCAAAGCCAGCUGGUGGAAUAAGGAUGAAGACUGAAGAUGUCACUCAUAAAGAUGAUAGCCAUGCGGGUGGAAAAAAUAAUCAGACAGAAAAGCUCGUCAAACGACAACAGCCAAAAACUACCAAAAUAUCUGAUAAUUCAAAGUUUGUGACUGACAAACCAAUGACUUGUACAUCAGUUGUAACAUCGUAUUCUGCAGCGAAGAGCUCUGAUUCAUCGUCUCCAGGAAUGACAUUACACAAGCAUCAAGAUAAAGGUGCCUCGUGUGCAUCAAAUUUGCCAUGUGCUUCAGAAAGCCCUGCAGUGCUGACUCCUGUGUGUGCUGCGCCCUUAGAUUCUAAUAUGGAAACCUCCAACUCUGGUCUUCCCAAACCCAAAGCGCCUGUCUUGGAAACUCCAAUUAAAGAAUCUGCAACUUCAGUUCAGAACCAAGGAGAAUCUGUGGAACCCUCAACCGUAAAUGUGUCAUCUCAGGGAUCUGCAGAACCUGUACUUAAUGCGCAAAAUGAAGAACCGUCUUUGACAAUUGAGGAAGAAUUGUUUGAUGAUUGUUCUGAGAAGAGUGAAGAAAUUACACUUUUGAACAAAAUUGAGAAAGUAGCUUCUGAUGCAGAAGACAAUGCACCCCGCCUUUUGAUUACUCUGAAACCAGGAGAAGCUGGAGGUGAAUCGAUAUUAAGUUGGAAAGGCUGUAGAGAAGUUAUUGGUAAUGAUGGCGUAUGGUCUGUAGCAAAUGUUGAGACUGUAGAUGAUAAUGUGGAAAAUACUACAGUUAAGGGUAAACGGUCUUUGAGGAGUAAGGUGCCACAGAAACCUGUUCCGGAGCCGGAAGUAGUAGGUGUAAAACGUUCAGCGAGGCGUAGGUCAAGGGACUACCAUUGUGAAACUGUGUUGCAGAGUGCUAUUGCAAGGAAGGAGAAGUCAUUUAGCAGUUUAGUUCAGUAUGAUGAGAGAGCUGCUGCAAACCGCAUCUCUCGACAGAACAUGAAAUCUGCUGCUGGUAAGCGUGCUGCGGCUGAGGCCAAAAAGUUAAGAGGUAAAGGUGCCAAAGCAGCUCAGAAGAAUUUGACUACCCAAGAGCAACUAAAAAAUUUAAUAAAUCUGAACAAAGCAAGGAAGUCGGAUAUCCAGACUAGAACAGUUACAAGAUCACAGCUGUUUUCUAGUUUCGGAAUCACAUCUCCCGUUUAUAAUGAAAUCUCAAUGGAUAUUUGUUCUCAGAGAACUUCCAAUUUGUCUAUGAACUCCAGUGCACAGACUUACACUAAAACUGGAAAGAGGCGGUAUAAACCUUACAAGGGAUUAAGAUACUCUCUCAGUAGCAACAAUGCGAAGAAAAAUAAGCUUACACGUCAUCAACGAACACUGAGUGAUGCAGACGGAGCCGGUAAUGAAAUAGUUGGUAGACCAAUGGUGGCAAGGAAAUCAGACAGAUCACAAACACUUAAGGGCUUUGAAACUGGUACUUACGCACUUGCAGCUGAGGACUUCUCUCUCUUCAGGAGUGGACCUCCAAAUCUACCUCGCUCCAUGAAGAACAGCCGCGUGGCAGAUGUGUAUGUGUAUGAAAGUGACUGUGAGAGUGAUAUCUCCAGUAUAAUUGAUGUUGGUUCACCAGAAAUUAAGCGAGAGAUUUUAUCAGAUGAUGAUGGUGGUGGUGGUGAUGUUGAGGAGGAGGAGGAUGAGGAUGAGGAAAAAUACACAGAUUUUAAGAGAAAAAGAUUUUGUUAUGACAAAUCAUCACUGCCUCCACAAAGAGGGAGAAGAAAACUGCAUACUGGCAGGGGAGGAGAACUAUCUGAUGAUGAUGUCAUGUCUCAACCCAUACCAGAAGUGUCCACAUCCUCAUCAAAGGGAACAGCUGAUGGAAUUCUGUGUUACUGUCAAAAGUCAACAUCACUGUAUGCGGCAAUACAGUCACAGAAGACUUCUGUAAUGUAUUGCCAAGCAAUGGAUGCACUUGAUGAACACGUGAUUGGAUGUGCAGAAGUCGUUCAAGUGAAGAAUGUUUGCCUGAGACGUGCUGGAGUCCGCUGUCCCUUUGUUCUUUUGUGUGAAGUACACAAGCAGCGCCUGUUGAGGCACAUGUGUUGCCCUGGAUGUGGUAUUUUCUGUACACAGGGGAACUUUGUUAUGUGCAAUGGUAAGCACUUCUAUCACAGAGAGUGCCAGGUUACAAAAGGAGGAGUUUUAUCAUGCCCACAUUGUGGUGAAGUCUCUCCUCCAGUGGACUGUACUCUGACUCUGAGUACUCUGAAAACUCCAGUGUACCUUCCUGAACUGAAACCACCAAGAAAAGAAUCAACUGCUAGAAUGACAGUUAAGGAAUCCAGCAGGAAAAACAUAAUUGAAGAGAGAGAAAAAGGGAUGACAUUACCACUUGACAAGGAAAAACUCACACAGUUGGUUAACACAGCUUGCAGUAUGCAGGUUGUUUCAGAGCAAGAAAUAAACACUUCAAGGAGCAUGGAGGAAACACUGUUUAUUGCUGCAAAGACGGGGAAUGCAGAGAAGAUACUGCAAGCUCUGGCUUCGGGAAUAGCUGCUAACCAUGCGUUUGAAGAAGCUAAUAUGGGAAGUGCACUCCACAUAGCAGCUAGUGAAGGGAACCUUGCUGCAGUCCACAUAUUGCUACAGUCUGGUGCACAGAUAGAUUUAAUGGAUCAGGACCAAAAUACACCUCUCAUACUAGCAGCACAAGCUGGCCGUAAUGCCAUUGUGGAGUAUUUAAUAAAAGCUGGUGCAUCAGUUACAUUAAAGGGAGGUGACGGCAUGACUGCGUUACAUGUGGCUGCAAAAACAGGAAAUCUUGAGGCUUGCCAGUACUUACUGUCAGUACCAAACACCAAAAAUAAUUUUGUGGAUACAAUUGAUGAUGGUGGCUGGACUCCAUUGGUUUGGGCUACAGAGAACUGUCAUGCUGAUGUUGCAAGGUUCCUGUUGAAAAAAAGAGCAGACCCACAUAUAAGAGAUGUGGAACAAAAUAUAGCUCUUCACUGGUCAGCAUUUUCUGGUUGCAUGGAUGUAUCAGAAAUGUUAAUAAACUAUGGAUCUGAAGUUAACUCUGUAAAUAUACAUGGUGAUACACCUCUGCAUGUUGGUGCUAGGCAAGAUAAAUAUGACUGCGUUCUAAUGCUCUUGUCACGGGGAGCGAGAGUUGAUGUUGUAAAUAGUGCUGGCAACUCACCACUUGACUGCUGUGUAAAAAGAAGCAAUGAAUGUUAUACUGCAAUUAAACUUAACAUUCUCCUUGGAAAUGUGGUUCUGAAUGUACGUGAACCAAGUGAGAAAAUCUUAUCCAAUGACAUAUCACGUGGAAGAGAAAUGAAUCCAAUUCAAUGUGUAAAUGGUGAAGAUGAUGAGGAAGAGCCUAGCGACUACACAUAUGUGAGCAAAAACUGUUUAACAGCUAAUAUUAGUAUUGACACUGCUGUAACGUCAUUACAGUCUUGCCUCUGUACAGAUAAUUGCUCAAGCAAUCGCUGCACUUGUACAUUUAUGAGUGAACAGUGUUGGUAUGAUGAUGAAGGAAAAUUAGUGCCUGAAUUCAACUAUACAGAUGCACCAAUGAUUUUUGAAUGCAACCAGUGCUGUGGUUGCAACCAAUCAACAUGCAACAAUCGAGUUGUGCAGCAUGGAUUUACUGGCCGGUUUCAGCUGUUUCGUACUCAGAGGCGUGGCUGGGGUGUGCGUACCCUCACUGCCAUUUCCAAAGGCUCAUUUGUUUAUACAUUGGAGAGAUCAUUACAGACUGUGAAGCUGAUAACAGAGAUGAUGAUACUUACCUCUUUGAUUUGGAUAAUAGGAGAAGACACUUUGGCCAUAACUCAGUAAAUGAGCGUAAAAAUUCAGUAGAAUUGGUUUCCUGCAGUUUGAACCCACAGGAACGUCUAGGCAAAACUCCUCAUGAUGGAGAGACAUACUGCAUUGACGCUCGGUAUUAUGGUAACAUUUCUCGUUUCAUAAAUCACAUGUGUGCACCAAACCUAUUGGCAAUAAGAGUAUUUGUAGAACAUCAAGAUGUCCAUUUCCCACGGAUGGCCUU